GAUUGAAUGGCUGCUAUCAGAUAUUAUGUGCAUCAAUAGUUUAAGCCAUCCACUUUUUGUUGCAUUUUUUGCACUGUUUCAUUAAUGAUCUAGCUGAGCAUCAGUUUCACUGGGUUGUGAUUUUUAAUAGAUGAACUGGGAUUAAGAGUAUAUGGUGGCACUUCUAAAGUUCUUUGCCUAUUCAAGUCUCCUCUACUGUAGAACAUCUGAAAAAUCAACAUUGUAGUCAAGGAUCAAACUUCAAAGUAUAGGAGUCCAGAAUAACUAUUAGUUGAUUAUAUAAAUGUAGAAUUUCUUGUAUUCAUUGAGAACCUCAAAUUGUUUUUUUACUAUAUUGGCAAAUUUUGUAUUGCUAUAAUAUUAUCUUUUGGUCCUGUAGUUGGACCAUAGUGGAGGGGAGGGCACCCUCCUCCAAGCCAUAGUUAAGCAUGCACUCUCCAUGGCAGCAGUCUGAAACUUGAGGCCUUCAAGAUGGAAUCCCAAGUUUUUAACUUAUAGGCUGCCCUUCGUGACUGCCAUAACGUUAUCAUUAUAAGGGAACACUUCUUGUCGGACCUUUCCAGUUGCAAUAGAAGUUGUUUUUCCUUCUUGUUUAUUAAGUAAUUUAUAUAUGUCAAACAAUCUUCUUUAUUUUGAUGAAUAGCAGGUUUCAAUAAAUUAGGUGUGUCUGCAUUUUUACAGAUUUAUGAGAUUUAAGUGGCCAAACCCUUAAUUAAGUCCAUUAUGCUUAGGGCAUGUAUCAAUUGAGUGAACCUUCACUUCCAUUAGGUGUUCAUCAACUGGCAUGAGUUCUUUAAUGUCUUGGAUUAUAUUUCCAAACUCUACAUGCCUGA
rnacentral:misc_RNA from 1 species